AGAGUUUGAUCCUGGCUCAGGAUGAACGCUAGCGGCAGGCCUAACACAUGCAAGUCGAGGGGUAGAGGAAGCUUGCUUCCUUGAGACCGGCAAACGGGUGCGGAACACGUACACAACCUUCCUUUCGGUGGGGGAUAGCCCAGAGAAAUUUGGAUUAAUACCUCAUAGUAUUACUGAGUGGCAUCGAUUGGUAAUUAAAGUUCCAACGGUAUAAGAUGAGCAUGCGUCCCAUUAGUUAGUUGGUAAGGUAACGGCUUACCAAGACAAUGAUGGGUAGGGGUCCUGAGAGGGAGAUCCCCCACACUGGUACUGAGACACGGACCAGACUCCUACGGGAGGCAGCAGUGAGGAAUAUUGGGCAAUGGAGGCAACUCUGACCCAGCCAUGCCGCGUGCAGGAAGACGGUCCUAUGGAUUGUAAACUGCUUUUAUACGGGAAGAAACACCACUACGUGUAGGGACUUGACGGUACUGA
rnacentral:rRNA from 1 species